rnacentral:lncRNA from 1 species
UCUUAUAUAAACCUAUGCAUCUUGAAGGGGAUUUGCAUGACUAUAGCUUUGAUAUUAUGUGAUAACAUGCUUCCGUUGCUUAUGUAUAUAAAUUUUGAAUUGUAUAUGCAUGCUAGUCACUAGAAAUCCCACAUGAAUCUCAUUAUUUUCCCUUCAAGUGGUAUCAGAGCCAAAGGUUUAUAUUUGAUGUGUCCUUUUUGGAUUUUAUGCAUAUGGGUUUUAAUUUGAUGUAUGACAUAUUAUUUCUUCAUUCAAAGUAUGUUUAUCUUUUGUUUUUCAAAUGUUGAAAAAUGUGAAUCAAGAGUUGAAAAAGAUAUGCAUGCAAAAAGUGUUUUGGAUGCAUGAAUGAAGAUUGAGUUUUGGAACAAAAUUUGGGGCUAAUGUUCCAUAGGGGAGGGCACGGUUUUGGGGGUGGUUUUUUAUUAGCUUGUGUUUGUGUUUUAUUGUAAGCCACUCACACAUCCUUUUAAAGCUAGAAAGUAGAGAUCUUGUCACUUUUGCUUUUGGGUUUGAAAAAUCACCAAGAAUAUACAAAUCUUGAAAUUAUGUUCAUGGUUUUGUUCUUGGUGUUCAUGGUUUUGGUUUUGGUGAAAAUGGUUUUAUUUGAUGUUUAUAUAAUGUUUUAUGGUUUUGGAUGAUAUACAUACCAUCCAUAGCCUUCCCAAAAAUUUAAUAAAACCUAGACUUGACUAGGUGAAUUUCCAUUACCCUUUUCUUAAAGUCCUUGAAGCUUAAGUCAAGUGACAAGUAAAAUUUGGAUUUUUUUCUACUUUGUAUUGAUUCAAUGCAAUGUGUAAGAAACCUCCCAUCCUCCUUAAUGUGGCCGGCCUCCCUAGUGGAUUUAUCCACUUGUGGGGCUAUUUUGUAAUUUUUUGAAAAGUUGAUAAUUACUUUCAAGUAUUUACAGUUUGACCCCUAACUUUUUGAAUUUGCAUUUAGGCCCCUACUAACUAGAAAGUUAAAAUAUUUGAUUUUAAUUUUGUUAGUUGUUUAAACUCAUAAUACUGUUAUGCCCAUAUGCACUAAAUCUAAUUGUUUAUGUUGCAUUCCAAUUAAUUAUUUAAUGUGAUUAAGUAGUUAGAAAAUGGUUGACUAUGGACUUAUGCCUUAAACGAUAAUUGAGCUAUGAGAAAAGGCGCUAAACUCAAAUUGUUUGAACCUUGGGAAUGUGUUUUAAUUACUAUUUCAAUUGGACCUUGUCAUGAUAGACAUUAAUCUUUCUCUCCCUCUUAGUAUUUGUAAAUUGUAGGAAUUUGUACAAAUCGGUUUGUAAUUCUUAUUACUUCUUAAUCUCUUUCAAUUAGUUGAUUCCCUCUAGUACUAGACUAGAGUUUCUUUAACUAUUGGUAAGGUGACAUGAUUAAAAGAGGGUUUUGUCAUGAGAUUAAAGAUUAAUUGGGUCCAACGCCCUAAUUAGCAAUGAAUGACUGUCUUUCAUUUCUAAUGGUCAUCCAAGAGCCUAAGAUAACUAUAAAGUCCAAUUUCAAAGGAAUGCAAAAACCUUAGUAGUAGUAGUUACUUCCAAUAUUUGAAAAAUUCGUUUUGAUAUUGAUUUGUUUUUCUCAAAACAAAUAGUGGGAGUAUCAUACGCUAC